GGGAAUUUUGGACAAUGGGCGCAAGCCUGAUCCAGCAAUGCCGCGUGCAGGAAGAAGGCCUUCGGGUUGUAAACUGCUUUUGUACGGAACGAAAAGGCUCUGGUUAAUACCUGGGGCUCAUGACGGUACCGUAAGAAUAAGCACCGGCUAACCUACGUGCC
rnacentral:rRNA from 1 species